rnacentral:tRNA from 1 species
GGUAGAGAGAUAGCUCAGUGGUUAAGAGCACUGACUGCUCUUCCAGAGGCCCUGAGUUCAAUUCCCAGCAACCA